rnacentral:misc_RNA from 1 species
GUGUAUAAGGGACAGGUGAAUCAUCGAAUCUUUGAACGCACAUUGCGCCCUGUGGUAUUCCGCAGGGCAUGCCUGUUCGAGCGUCAUUUAACCCCCUCAAGCGCUGCUUGUUGUUGGGCGUUUGUCUAGCCUUUUGGCAUGGACUCGCCUUAAAAAUAUUGGCAGCCACCUCCCUGGCUUCGAGCGCAGCACUCUUGCGCCCGGUACAUAGGGGGCGUGGUUCCCCAUAAGCACUUUUUUAGUUGACCUCGGAUCAGGUAGGGAUACCCGCUGAACUUAAGCAUAUCAAUAAGCGGAGGA